GCUCGCGAUGCCUCUACACAAGUAUCCCGUGUGGCUCUGGAAGCGGCUGCAGCUGCGGGAGGGCAUCUGUUCCCGCCUGCCCGGCCACUACCUGCGCUCCCUGGAGGAGGAGCGGACGCCCGCUCCCGUGCACUAUAGGCCUCAUGGGGCCAAGUUCAAGAUCAACCCCAAGAACGGGCAGCGGGAGCGUGUGGAGGACGUGCCCAUUCCCAUCUACUUUCCCCCCGAAUCCCAGCGGGGGUUGUGGGGCGGCGAGGGCUGGAUCCUGGGCCAAAUAUACGCCAACAACGACAAGAGGCUGAAGAAAGUGUGGAAGCCACAGCUGUUUGAGCGAGAGCUCUACAGUGAGAUCCUGGACAAGAAGUUCACAGUGACUGUGACCAUGCGGACCCUGGAUCUCAUCGAUGAGGCUUACGGGCUCGACUUUUACAUCCUCAAGGCAAGCGGGGUGGGGCGAGUCCGUGCACAGCGGGGUCUGCGAUGGGCCAGUCAGACUCACGGGAGCCCCAGGUCAGCAUCACACCGGGGCGCGCUGACAUCUGCACAGGAGGGUCACUGGGAAAGCGUGAGUGGGGCCAUGCCCCUUUCUGGCUGGCACCAGUGGGGUUUCCUGCCUUCAGGAGAGGCUGUCGCUCUGUGGGUGGCUGACUUGCCCGUGGGGCCUGACCGAGCACAGCCGCCCCUUUCCCUGCACUUGGACUUGCUUCUGUCCUGAUCCCACCCCCCAGGCUGGGGUGCUGAGGCGGCCCCACCCGGGCCUUCUCUGUCCUGUCCUGGGACCACCAGCGGCUAGAGAGGAGCCAGGUGGGUUGGCUGGAAGGGUAGGCGGGGCCCUGCCACCAGCACCUGGCCCCAUGUGAGCCUUCUGCCAGACCCCGAAGGAGGACCUGUGCUCCAAGUUUGGGAUGGACCUGAAGCGAGGGAUGCUGCUGCGGCUUGCCCGGCAGGACCCCCAGCUGCACCCCGAGGACCCCGAGCGGCGGGCAGCCAUCUACGACAAGUACAAGGAAUUUGCCAUCCCAGAGGAGGAGGCAGAGUGGGUGGGCCUCACGCUGGAGGAGGCCAUUGAGAAGCAGAGACUUUUGGAGGAGAAGGACCCUGUACCCCUGUUCAAGAUCUAUGUGGCGGAGCUGAUCCAGCAGCUGCAGCAGCAGGCACUGUCAGAGCCGGCGGUGGUGCAGAAGAGAGCCAGUGGCCAGUGACCACACAGCUCCUCCAUGCCUGACCAACAGGCCCAGCCUUCCCUGCCAGGCCCUUUGCACUGAGGACACAGAUCCCGGGGAGCUGUGAGGGCCACCGGUGGGCAGUGGGUGGAUCCUGGUUUCGUGUGCUGCCCAUGCACCUUCCAGCCCGGGGCCAGCUUGGCAGGGAUCCCCAGGAGGCCUGGGCCGCCCAGAGGCUCCUCUCAGGCUGGGCCCCCACGUUUGCGGCAGUGUUCCUUGUGCCUGUGGGGCCGGGAGCGAGUAAAGUCUGGGCCAG
rnacentral:sRNA from 1 species